GGCCCCCCAAAGGACUCGUGGUCGAGUCCCGUGGGCUUCAAACCCAUGAUCGCGCAAGCGAUGAGAGUUCGAUUCUCUUGGGGGGCCGCCA
rnacentral:tRNA from 1 species